rfam:Pelodiscus sinensis unplaced genomic scaffold scaffold364, whole genome shotgun sequence.
CUGAGCUGAUGAUGUUAAGUUAUCCCUGUCUGAAAAAUAAACUAUUUGUGGAAUUCUGACUCUCUGAGGCUUAG